AGCAUAUCCAUACCUAUCUUCCGAUUCCAGUGACUAACUAGGGUUUGUGGCAAAGCGUAAAGCAUUUGCAGUCUUUACAAAUUGCAACUCGAAUGCGAUUGAGUUGCGUUCGCUUUGGCCUUAUAUGGGAUGCGCAUUGAGUGGGGCUCUAUAAGGCGACCCGGUUGGCAAUGCUAUUUUAUGAAAUCACUAGUUACGCUUUAAGAUGAAGAAGAAAGAAAAAAUAAAAAACCAACAGGCGCAGCUGCCAGUUGGAAACUGUCACUGUUCAGAUACAAAUGUAUCUGUGGCUAUAAACGUGGCUGGCAGAGAGAUAAGCAAAAGCACGCAGCAUAUCCAGAGCCUACUUCUGAGUAUCUGGCAGAACAACAACAUGAAAAUAACAAACAGUUAGCCGGUUCUGCAAGACAGACGCCGCAACAGCAGCAAGCGGCAGGCGGCAAGAGAUUGCAGCGAUGCGCUACAAAAUGUAUCUUGUAGUUUGCCGCCGCUGCUGUCAGCCUAUCUGGCUGCCCCCUCUGACUAUCUUAUCGCACAAGAUUUGCAAAAAUAUUCGCCCAAUUAUGUCAUGACUGUAGAAUGUGGUUUGGCACACAAAACAAGACAGCUGAAA